rnacentral:lncRNA from 1 species
UACAAAGUCAUUCGUAUUAAAAAUAUAUUAAUACACGGCUUGGUCAGUCGCGACAUUCCAAGGUAUGUUAUCUCUGGAUAACAGCCGGUAAAAGCUAAUAACACAGGCUCAUCCGGGUAACAGCAGUCGGCGCUGUACUCUAGCUUGAACUAUUUUUUUUCUUGGUGGAAGCUUUGCGUUUGUUUAGCUAAUAAAAUAUUGAAACUCAAUUCAAAAUGGUGUACAAUUGUUUAAUUAUGUCAUCCUGGUAUCACGGACUUGUUUCAUACAAACGCAGCUGCUGCCAUUUUGCUACGAUUGUUUUGUACGCUCUAAUGGAUUAUAAGAUAACUAACAAACUGGUUCCCAUUGUGUCCGAAUGCAUCGUUGUCCCGCCUUCCAAACUGAAAGUCCAAAAGAGUGAACUCCAAAAGCAGAUGACAUCAACCCCUCUCCUGAUCGACAGUGCAAGCAAGCUCGGACAUUCCUGGUCUUCUUCUCACCGAGCACCCUUCUCUGCUUCCAAGUCACCAAGCUUCCUGGGCCCUCUCCAUUUCACCCAGGAUCACUCUGAGCCCCCUGGAAUGUGGGAUUAAUGGUCCUGUGCAUCGUGCAGGCCGUUUGGGAUAUCCAAGACCUUUCCAACUCCAAAGCACGUUCUCUUAUCAAUAACACCCGAUCAUCAUGAUGUCAGUGGUCAGGGGCACAUUUGGAAGUAGAUUAUAGAAAUAGCUGAUUAAAAAUUCA